ensembl:misc_RNA 7SK 7SK RNA
UGAUAUCAGAAAUAAUCUGGCUAUGAUAUCUGACACUUCUCUGAUGACUAAGGUUAAUUCCACCUAUCUUCCUGGUUCUGCAGAUAUCUCCUUCCUCCCUCAUUAUUCCGUGAUUGCCUCAUAUGAAACCGUGAGCUUGAUCAGAAAGGGUGACUUUCACACUUAGAAAAGGAUCAUUCUUGAGUCAAAGUUGUAUGAGUACAGUGGUUGCACUAUUUCGCCAUAUCAUACAUAUUAAUGCUGGUCACUUGUUUUGAAGGUUGAUCGAGGGU